UAAAUGUGUGCCAUAUUUCCAUUGAAUGAACGUCAUUUAGUUUCAAAAAAGCAUCGGAAAACGUGAAAAUUCAACCUAUCUAGGAUAGCAACAGUUACACCAUCAUUCCUACCAAUCAAUAUUUGAAUCAAUUAGAUGUCUGUAUCCAAAGCAUUGCAGUUUAUGGAUAAAAAAGAUCUUGAGUGUGCCAUCUGUCUCAACAGGUUUCACCAACCAAAGACACUGAAAUGCACGCACACCUAUUGUCUACAGUGUAUCCAGAAAUGGGUGGAAACUCAUGAGGAGAUGAAA